UCUACGCACCAGUUCUUACUUGCUUGACUAUUCAAUAUUUGACAAGAUAAUUGACUCUUUUUUUUACAUUUAGGCAAAUAGAACCAACAGCCCUGAAUGGAAUUGUUUGCAUAGAACGAUGCUGAAACCAUGUUCCCGAACUUUGCAUGGGGCGCGGCAACAUUCCCUUAUCAAAUCGAGGGACACAUUCAAUAACCCUGCGGUCUACAUCACAGAAAAUGGCUUCUCCCAGGUGGGGCCAGUGGACAUGGAAGACAUCCAGCACUGUGGGUUUUACCAGGACAUCAUCCAGAUCUCAGAGAGGAUGUUGUUGACGUGCUAGUUUAAUUCACCGGGUCCUUCCUGGAUAACUUUGAAUGGGCCGACAGUUUCGCUUUGUCCUGUUCCACAUGGACUUUUCUUGACCAGAGUGACCGUGGACCGCGUACCACUCUGGAAGAGGGUACUCCGGGAUCAUCUCCAAGUACAGAUCUUAGACCAGGACAAAUAACUAAACAGCCAAUGGGCACAGAGAAAAUCAUCCAAAUCAGCCAAUAAAAGACAUUUUUUGCUCAAUGUUCUGUUCUGAUCAACUACAACCAAGCUUGGGCCAUUUUGAUUUGCCAUUUUGAUUUGAAGCCCAUCUGAAACACAUUAUAGUUGUGAAGCCUUUAAGACGUUCCUUCUCACCACUUUUCUCUGUCAACCCUGAAAAUGUUUUGUAAAAGAGUGCGAAGCUCAUUCGGCUCC